rnacentral:other from 1 species
GCUCGACUGCGGGAUUCGUUGACGAGCACAUAAUAAUUGAGCCAACACUCGAAUUGAGGGAGGCUGACGCCUGAUUCAGUGCGGUUCCCUACGCGGGAAUUGCCGGAGAUGAAGGAAUGGUUCUUUUGGGAGCCGCAGGCCACCCACCUGUUGAAAACAGGUUCAAUUCAGUCGUUCGAAACGGUCAUUGCGGUUCCUUU